GGUUGGAUUGGCAAUUGAGCAUUGCACCAUGAUCACUUACAAUAAUGUGGAAACUGGAGAAGUAAGUCACAUGACCAUUGAAACUGUUUGUAAUUAGCAUUCGAAUUUGGAUGAAUGUUUUCUUGUUUGUUUUUAGAGUGAAACAGCUUCUGUGACAUUGUUAUCAGCUGGUCAUUGUAUUGGAUCUGUGAUGUAUGCUAUUUAAUUCUUUGUUAGCUUAUAGCCCCUGCAGUCAAUUACAGUAAACAAGGAUAUGAGAGUUGAGAGGCGAGAGUUUGCACGAGAAUUGACUUGGCUAUUACCACACCUAAUUAGGCAAAACUCUUAUCAACUCUCAAGAAAAUUUGAACCGGCUCAAAUAGUCAAUUGUUACUUACUGUAAAGCAGCAUUUGAAUAUAUUCCAGCCCACUAUACUAGGGGCGCACCGGAAC